CAGCUAAAAACGUGAAACAAUAAAUUAUUAAAGUGCACUGUUUCGUGAGAAUGGAAAAACACCAGCUAACUCAAAGUUAAGAACUGUACAGCUGGGUAAACUCAGAUUAAGCUGAAUUUGGAAAUGGUUCCCUUGGUAACAAAAAUGGACAGCGAUCUCGGAAGAAAUCAGCCAGGAGUAACUCUUUAAAUGUCCUAGUCCAUUUCAGUGAAAUAAAGCAGGUUAAACUUGUUGGC
rnacentral:lncRNA from 1 species